GUAUCCUGGCUCAGGAUAAACGCUAGCGGCAGGCCUAACACAUGCAAGUCGAGGGGCAUCGGAUAGAGUACUUCGGUACUCUUGCCGGCGACCGGCGGACGGGUGCGUAACGCGUAUGCAACCUACCUUCAACAGGGGGAUAAUCCGAAGAAAUUUGGGUCUAAUACCCCCAUAAUAUUCCGAAAGGCAUCUGUCGGAGUUGAAAGCUUCGGUGGUUGGAGAUGGGCAUGCGUUGUAUUAGCUAGAUGGUNAGG
rnacentral:rRNA from 1 species